rnacentral:rRNA from 1 species
GAUGAACGCUGGCGGCGUGCCUAAUACAUGCAAGUCGAGCGAACGGACGAGAAGCUUGCUCCUCUGAUGUUAGCGGCGGACGGGUGAGUAACACGUGGAUAACCUACCUAUAAGACUGGGAUAACUUCGGGAAACCGGAGCUACUACCGGAUCAUAUUUUGAACCGCAUGGUUCAAUAGUGAAAGACGGUUUUGCUGUCACUUAUAGCUGGAUCCGCGCUGGAUUAGCUAGUUGGUAAGGUAACGGCUUACCAAGGCCACGAUGCCUAGCCGACCCGAGAGGGUGAUUCGCCCAAACGGAAACGAGACCAGGUUCCGACUCCUAAGGGAGGCCGCCGUGGGGAAUCUUCCGCAAUGGGCGAAAGCCUGACGGAGCAACGCCGCGUGAGUGAUGAAGGUCUUCGGAUCGUAAAACUCUGUUAUUAGGGAAGAACAGAUGUGGAAGUAACUCUGCACGUCUUGACGGUACCUAAUCAGAAAGCCACGGCUAACUACGUG